rnacentral:rRNA from 1 species
AUUGAACGCUGGCGGCAGGCCUAACACAUGCAAGUCGAACGAGUGGCGCACGGGUGAGAAAUGUCUGGGACCUUGCCAGAUGGAGGGGGAUAACUACUGAAACCGGUAGUAAAUACGGAAUACCAUCGGCUGAUCCAAGAUUGGAUUCGGCAGUAGGUGGGGUAACGGCUUACCUAGGCGACGAGCCCUAGCUGGUCUGAGAGGAUGACCAGCCACACUGGAACUGAGACACGGUCCAGACUCCUACGUGAGGCAGCAGUGGGGAAUAUUGCACAAUGGGCGCAAGCCUGAUGCAGCCAUGCCGCGUGUGUGAUGAAGGCCUUCGGGUUGUAAAGCACUUUCAGCAGGGAGGCGUUACCCGCAGAAGAAGCACCGGCUAACUCCGUGCCAGCAGCCGCGGUAAUAC